CAUCCGGGCACCGCCUCUUCCAAGGCCAGGGCGUGGUAAAUGGCGCAGUGGCCCCUGCAGAGCCCGAGCAUCUGGCCACGCGGGGACCUGGACCACGGUCACACGCGGCAGUGGGGUCCGUGGAGGGGCGUCUUGGGGUCUGAUGCCGGACACUGACUCCCCACCGCCUUCCCGAGCCACCUGCGUUUCCCUGCGGUCGUUUCCUUAGUCGCGCCCAUCCGGAGGGACAGAGCUGGCAGUGUGAACAGCGCGAGCCGCAGGCGUGGCUGGGCGCGCUGAGAAGCAAGGACGCAGGGCCCUGGCUGCCUGGUGUUGUGGCAGGAGCCUAGGCUGCCGAGGCCCACUAUGUUCUGUGUAGAAACGGAAACGGGGGAUCACUUUGUCACUGUGGCUCUGUGCUAUUCUACGAGCACCUGGGGAAGCCCGGCACAUGGCCUUUAGAUGGAGAGGAACUGUGCUUGAGAAGUUGUAUCCUAAGGAGCCUCAUCCACGCCUGGACCUGAUUUAUGAGAUGAGGUCCUGGGCCUUGAGCCUGCAGCUGACACGCCGCGGUGGAAACCUUCGUGGGCGGGGAAACUCCCACCGCAGCAGAAGCAGCUUCUAACAGGCGUGUGCCCCAGCCAGCUGCGCCCAGCCUAGGAGAGCGGGGACUCUUGGGGAACUU